GCUUGAUAUUCUGCUUUACUUUUCAAUCAGACGAAACGAACCAGAAAAAUCAUGGCUUCUCAGGUCCUCAGACGCGCUCUAGGAAGCCGGUCCUCCCAGAUCCUCUCCUCAACCACCACCGCUGCCGCUGCUCCUAAUUAUUCCUUAUUAGCUUCUGCAGCCAGGGCCUUCCCCUCCGCCACAACUCCGAUCACAGCCACCCUCUUUCCCGGUGACGGCAUUGGCCCCGAGAUCGCUGAGUCUGUCAAACA
rnacentral:misc_RNA from 1 species